rnacentral:rRNA from 1 species
GCCAGCCCGCUCAGAAACUCAAAUGAAUUGACGGGGCCCGGCACAAGCGGUGGAGCAUGUGGUUUAAUUCGAUGAUACGCGAGGAACCUUACCUGGGCUCAAAUGUAUGUUGACGUAUUCUGAAAGGGAUACUUCUUCGGACAAUAUACAAGGUGCUGCAUGGUUGUCGUCAGCUCGUGCCGUGAGGUGUCGGGUUAAGUCCCAUAACGAGCGCAACCCCUACCUUUAGUUGCCAUCAGGUUAAGCUGGGGACUCUAAAGGAACUGCCUACGCAAGUAGUGAGGAAGGCGGGGAUGACGUCAAAUCAGCACGGCCCUUACGUCCAGGGCUACACACGCGCUACAAUGGCCGAUACAGAGGGCAGCUACCUGGUGACAGGAUGCAAAUCUCCAAAGUCGGUCUCAGUUCGGAUCGGAGUCUGCAACCCGACUCCGUGAAGUUGGAUUCGCUAGUAAUCGCGCAUCAGCCAUGGCGCGGUGAAUACGUUCCCGGGCCUU